rnacentral:rRNA from 1 species
AUAGGUAGUGUGAAUCGCAGAAUCCUGUGAAUCAUCGAAUCUUUGAACGAAUAUUGCGCCCGAGGCCUCGGCGGAGGGCAUGUCUGCCUGAGCGUC